rnacentral:rRNA from 1 species
UACGGAGGAUGCGAGCGUUAUCCGGAUUUAUUGGGUUUAAAGGGUGCGUAGGCGGACGCUUAAGUCAGCGGUAAAAUUGCGGGGCUCAACCUCGUCGAGCCGUUGAAACUGGGUGCCUUGAGUGGGCGAGAAGUACGCGGAAUGCGUGGUGUAGCGGUGAAAUGCAUAGAUAUCACGCAGAACUCCGAUUGCGAAGGCAGCGUACCGGCGCCCUACUGACGUUGAAGCACGAAGGCGUGGGUAUCGAACAGG